rnacentral:piRNA from 1 species
UAGAAUGUUCUUCUUCAGCUCCUCUGC